CAGUUUGGAGCAUGAAUAUGCAAUUCACUUACACUGAAAAAAUGGUAACUUUUUACCCGAACUGA
rnacentral:tRNA from 1 species